rnacentral:rRNA from 2 species
UGGGGAAUAUUGCACAAUGGGGGAAACCCUGAUGCAGCGACGCCGCGUGAACGAAGAAGGUAUUCGUAUCGUAAAGUUCUGUCCUAUGGGAAGAUAAUGAUAGUACCAUAGAAGAAAGCUCCGGCUAAAUACGUGCCAGCAGCCGCGGUAAUACGUAUGGAGCGAGCGUUGUCCGGAAUUAUUGGGCGUAAAGGGUACGCAGGCGGUUUAAUAAGUCGAAUGUUAAAGAUCGGGGCUCAACCCCGUAAAGCAUUGGAAACUGAUAAACUUGAGUAGUGGAGAGGAAAGUGGAAUUCCUAGUGUAGUGGUGAAAUACGUAGAUAUUAGGAGGAAUACCAGUAGCGAAGGCGACUUUCUGGACACAAACUGACGCUGAGGUACGAAAGCGUGGGGAGCAAACAGG